AUAAUCCUCUGACAUCCCCCACCCCCCAAACGUCAGAUGCUUUGCUACGUCCCUGAUGGUUGUAUUCGAAACCGAUUUCAGUUUUAAGAUAUCCUUAGUCUGCUCUUCUAAAUGGAUACAUGAAAUCACCUAUAGCUUAUUUUAAAUUUUUUGGCGCCAGGUUUGUGAAGUAACUUACGCGCCAAAAAGUAGCAGUUCCAAAAACAAAAAAGCAUAUACGAUUUGCAAGAAUGAUGUGUUCUAUGUUUAUGGGAUAUUUCGUACAAACGGGAUGGAAAUUAAAGAAAUUGAAGCAUAAUGGCACUUUUGCAUGCAUUUUUGACAGGCAUACAAAGACAUUUGCAACAGAUGCCGGGAGACACUUGGGUGGGGGCGACAUACUGUAAGGUUCCAGCACAUUACCCUGAUCCAGGAAAUCCUGGCCACUACAUGAACGUGUUCAAGACUCCGAAUACGCUGAAUGAUGGACAACAACAACCUGUUGAUAAUUUCAUCCCUAGAGCCAAUUUAAAAUGUUUUAAAGACGGUGCCAUUUCAUCUGGUGCUAGUGAGGUGAAAGAAGCAGCAGAUCGGUAGUUUUGUUGAGGAGAAGCACAUG